AGAGUUUGAUCAUGGCUCAGGACGAACGCUGGCGGCGUGCUUAACACAUGCAAGUCGAGCGGAAAGGCCCUUCGGGGUACUCGAGCGGCGAACGGGUGAGUAACACGUGAGUAACCUGCCCUGGACUUUGGGAUAACCCUCGGAAACGGGGGCUAAUACCGGAUACGACACAGUCUCGCAUGGGAUCUGUGUGGAAAGUUUUUCGGUCUGGGAUGGGCUCGCGGCCUAUCAGCUUGUUGGUGGGGUGAUGGCCUACCAAGGCGACGACGGGUAGCCGGCCUGAGAGGGCGACCGGCCACACUGGGACUGAGACACGGCCCAGACUCCUACGGGAGGCAGCAGUGGGGAAUAUUGCACAAUGGGCGGAAGCCUGAUGCAGCGACGCCGCGUGAGGGAUGACGGCCUUCGGGUUGUAAACCUCUUUCAGCAGGGACGAAGCGCAAGUGACGGUACCUGCAGAAGAAGCGCCGGCCAACUACGUGCCAGCAGCCGCGGUAAGACGUAGGGCGCGAGCGUUGUCCGGAUUUAUUGGGCGUAAAGAGCUCGUAGGCGGCUUGUCGCGUCGACCGUGAAAACUUGGGGCUCAACCCCAAGCCUGCGGUCGAUACGGGCAGGCUAGAGUUCGGUAGGGGAGACUGGAAUUCCUGGUGUAGCGGUGAAAUGCGCAGAUAUCAGGAGGAACACCGAUGGCGAAGGCAGGUCUCUGGGCCGAUACUGACGCUGAGGAGCGAAAGCGUGGGGAGCGAACAGGAUUAGAUACCCUAGUAGUCC
rnacentral:rRNA from 1 species